AGGGAAAACAUUUCAGAAAUAUUUUCUUAGUCACAAGAGCUCAGAUGCCGCAUUAGAGACCAGAAGGAAGCACAAGCAGUAAGGGCACUGUUAUCUCUGAGUGAACCCAAAUCCAGAGAGAUUACUGAUCCUGCCUCAGUGAAGCUCUCCCAUAGUUUCAGUAAGGACUAAAUACUGAAGUCCUAAGUAAAGAUUUGACUCAAGCAUGUUGACAUAGAUCAUAAUGCUUCUUUCAUUUCUCUCUCGCUAGAGAGAUUUGCAACCGUAACUAUCAGCAGCAUCUCUACAUCCUUUCUGGAGCUGCUAGUACUGUUCCAGCAGCUGAGGAUGAAAAGCACUUUAUGCAGCAACCCUGAUCAAAGCAUACAUACUCGUAAGAGUUAUUUAAUCUUUGGUUUCACAAGAAACCUAAUAUGCUACCUUUUGUGCCAGCCUCAUGCAAAAGGCUGAGGGUUGUAAACACGGAAUCAUUUCAUUCGGAAGACUAUUUAGUCCAAACUACUGCUCAAGAAAGGUCUGCUGGAGUUGUUGUGUAGUUAAAUCAUUCUAUUCCCUAAUGUGAGGUAUUAGGAGGUAUUGCUUUCUCUAAUUAUCACUGAACCAGACACCAAAAACCUCCCAUAAUAAUUUCCAUAACGAGUUCACUGAGUUCUAGCUAUGUGCUUCAUCCAUUCUGGUUACAAUCUUACUAUCUACAUUUUCUUAAGCUUGAUUCUGCAGAAUCAGAUUUUUAGAUGACUACUUGGGGCAGGUAACACUAUGUUUUAUAUAACAAAACAAAUAGCAAGGGACUUGGAUUAAUUGGGGUAACAUGAACAAAAGUAUUUUUGACCACAAUUACUGAAUGCCACAGUGCUGCCAAAUGGUUUUUUUUUUCUGUUUAUUUAAGACAAGGUUUUGUUCAAAGACUGGAUCUUUACCAUAGACAUCCAUUUAGCUAUAUCUGGAUCCAUAUCAGCACUCUUCCUAAACCCAGAAACACCAAGCAUCAGAGAAAUAAGAAAUGUAGUUUCCCUCCUCUAUCAGUGCCUAAUAGUUAAAACUGAGCAAGUUAGAGAAAAUUUUCUUGAUCUGGGAAGAAUUUCAAUUUUCUAAAGAAUUUUUCAUGGUACAUAUCAACAGCAUGACCUUGCAGAGGAGAUAAAACCUGUUCAUCACCAACGAGGGUUUUUGUUAUGAGCAUAGAAAGCCAAUUGACAACAUGGAGAGGAAGCUCUUUAUGCAGGGAUUUCAUCAUGAAAUUGCAACAUCAAGUUGGUUGAUACAGAGCACAUUGAUAUAACCAGGAGUCAAAACCUAGAGGGAAAAUGGUCCUAAGCCACAUAGAAAAUCUGACUCUCUGGCACCACAGAGGAAGGUUAAUUGCUAUGGUAGGUAAUUUUACCUAAGAACUGCCAUGGCAUUAGUUUGAGACCAUUUUGUUGGAA